rnacentral:lncRNA from 10 species
AACACAUUGCAGAUAUAAUCUCAAGACCUUGUGGCAUGUACUUGUCACUACAUGCAUAACUUACUAUGGACAGAGGAUCACGGAGAUUUUGAACAUAAUUUCCCACACGACAGGAGAUUAAAUAGACCACAUUGGAAGAAGGCAAGAAGAAGCUAGGUCUCUGGAGUACCAAAAAGUAAACUUCAGCCAGUUCUGGAAGCAGAUAAACAGCAGGAAAUAUACUUUCAGAUGGGCUACUUUCUCAAUAGUUCUUGCUUGCAAGAGCUCUAGGGAAAGUAUGAGUUACUGGGAAUAUCAGACAUUAAUGAACCAAUAGAGAAGAUACUGGGGUGCAGAAGAGCUUUCCCAGUGUCCUGGGAGCCAUUCUACACAGCACCCUGCAGCAUGACUUUGGAUCUGCUGUGCUUAGUUUCUUUACUUGUGAAAACAGAGUAAUAGUAGCACCUACCUCACAGGAUUGUUCUGAAGAUUAGAGGGAUUCUUUCAUGGAAAGCUCUAGAGCAGUGCUUGAGAGAUGUAUUCCAGAUCAUCUCAACCCACUAUCCAACCAAACAUGGAGAGCAGAGCAGCCCCAUCUCAGUUAUGGUAGCAGAUGAAGCAACUCAGAGAUAUUGCAGAUUUGGUUCCAGAUCAACACAAUAAAGCAAAUCACACACAAAUUUUUUGGUUUUCU